rnacentral:tRNA from 1 species
GGGGCCUUAGCUCAGCCGGGAGAGCGCCUGCUUUGCACGCAGGAGGUCGGGGGUUCGAUCCCCCCAGGCUCCA